rnacentral:sRNA from 1 species
AAUUGUGGAACUUAGGUAUGGAAUCUAGA